CAAAAGUUUGGUCCUGGCUUUACUAUCAGUUCUAGCCCAACUUACACAUGCGAGUCUCCGCACUCCUGUGAGGAUACCCUCAAUCCCCUGCCCGGGGAGGAGGAGUUGGUAUCAGGCUCAAUGCUUAGCCCAAGACACCUUGCCCAGCCACACCCCCAAGGGAACUCAGCAGUGAUAGACAUUAAGCCAUGAGCGAAAGCUUGACUUAGUUAGGGCUAAGAGGGUCGGUAAAAUUCGUGCCAGCCACCGCGGUUACACGGAAGACCCAAGUUGAUAGACACGGCGUAAAGGGUGGUUAUGGGACCACGAAUAAUAGAGCGAAAGGCCCCUCAGGCCGUCAUACGCACGCAAGAGGCCGAAGUCCUCCCACGAAGGUGGCUCUAGCACACCAGAACCCACGAAAGCCGGGGCACAAACUGGGAUUAGAUACCCCACUAUGCCCCCCUGUAAACCGAGGCACCCCCAUACAAAAGGUGCUCGCCCGGGAACUACGAGCAAUAGCUUAAAACCUAAAGGACUUGGCGGUGCUUCACACCCCCCUAGAGGAGCCUGUUCUGGAACCGAUGAUCCCCGUUCAACCUCACCACUCCUUGCUCUCAACCGCCUAUAUACCGCCGUCGCCAGCUUACCCUGUAAAGGAUUAAAAGUAAGCACAACGAGAAUUACCUCAAAACGUCAGGCCGAGGUGUAGCGGACGGAGUGGGAAGAAAUGGGCUACAUUACCUGCUCCAGGUAACAUCACGGAAGGCCGGCUGAAAUACCGACCCGAAGGUGGAUUUAGCAGUAAGCGGGGAGUAGAGAGCCCCACUGAAGCCGGCCCUGAAGCGCGCACACACCGCCCGUCACUCUCCCCGACAGUCAUACCCCAGUCCUUAACCCGACAAGCCCCACAAGGGGAGGCAAGUCGUAACAUGGUAAGUGUACCGGAAGGUGCACUUGGAACAAC
rnacentral:ncRNA from 1 species